UGAUAAUUAGAUUUAUAUAAUAAAUAUUUUAUUAUAUGACUUGUUUAGAAUAUUUAAGUUAAUUAUUUUAACUUGAUUAUUGAUGCUGUGUACGAAGAAUAAGUCAGAUAUGAGAUCCAAACCCUAGAUUGGGAUUGUGAUCAAGAGAUGAGAAUAAUAAUAUUAUAUUAUUUAUAUAAUGAUUUUACAGUACCAUAAUUAUGUACUGUGUAUGUGCGGACAGAUAAUAUUGAGCAAUGACGGUCAAUUAGGUCA
rnacentral:lncRNA from 1 species